GCCCCAUUGGCUUAGUGGUUAAAGCAUUGUGCUUAUAGUAUACAAACUAUACAAGGUCACGCAAAGAUCGCGGGUUCGACCCCCGCAUGGGGCA